rnacentral:rRNA from 1 species
AAUGAACGCUGGCGGCAGGCUUAACACAUGCAAGUCGAGCGGCAGCGGGAAGUAGCUUGCUACUUUGCCGGCGAGCGGCGGACGGGUGAGUAAUGUCUGGGAAACUGCCUGAUGGAGGGGGAUAACUACUGGAAACGGUAGCUAAUACCGCAUAACGUCGCAAGACAAAGAGGGGGACCUUCGGGCCUCUUGCCAUCAGAUGUGCCCAGAUGGGAUUAGCUAGUAGGUGGGGUAAUGGCUCACCUAGGCGACGAUCCCUAGCUGGUCUGAGAGGAUGACCAGCCACACUGGAACUGAGACACGGUCCAGACUCCUCCGGGAGGCAGCAGUGGGGAAUAUUGCACAAUGGGCGCAAGCCUGAUGCAGCCAUGCCGCGUGUAUGAAGAAGGCCUUCGGGUUGUAAAGUACUUUCAGCAGGGAGGAAGGUGUUGAGGUUAAUAACCUCAGCAAUUGACGUUACCCGCAGAAGAAGCACCGGCUAACUCCGUGCCAGCCGCCGCCGUAA